GAUGGGACACAACUAUAUCCACAUAUAAAAUACACUACAAUCAGUGAGUACUUGGAGACCUUAGUGUAAGAAUGGAGUGAUUUUGACGUCGAGCUUCUUCAUCUCCAUGCUACCUCAUUGAUUUAUGAGACUGUUGACUGACAUAACAUGUUUUGUCUGAAGCUGAUUGAAAUGUUAAGAAGAAACAUUUGCAGAAGGGGAAU
rnacentral:misc_RNA from 1 species